AGCGAACGCUGGCGGCAGGCCUAACACAUGCAAGUCGAACGGACCCUUCGGGGUUAGUGGCGGACGGGUGAGUAACACGUGGGAACGUGCCUUUAGGUUCGGAAUAGCUCCUGGAAACGGGUGGUAAUGCCGAAUGUGCCCUUGGGGGGAAAGAUUUAUCGCCUUUAGAGCGGCCCGCGUCUGAUUAGCUAGUUGGUGAGGUAAUGGCUCACCAAGGCGACGAUCAGUAGCUGGUCUGAGAGGAUGACCAGCCACAUUGGGACUGAGACACGGCCCAAACUCCUACGGGAGGCAGCAGUGGGGAAUCUUGCGCAAUGGGCGAAAGCCCGACGCAGCCAUGCCGCGUGGAUGAUGAAGGUCUUAGGAUUGUAAAAUCCUUUCACCGGUGAAGAUAAUGACUGUAGCCGGAGAAGAAGCCCCGGCUAACUUCGUGCCAGCCGCCGCAGUAA
rnacentral:rRNA from 1 species